rnacentral:rRNA from 1 species
GACGAACGCUGGCGGCGUGCUUAACACAUGCAAGUCGAACGGAAAGGCCCUGCUUUUGUGGGGUGCUCGAGUGGCGAACGGGUGAGUAACACGUGAGUAACCUGCCCUUGACUUUGGGAUAACUUCAGGAAACUGGGGCUAAUACCGGAUAGGAGCUCCUGCUGCAUGGUGGGGGUUGGAAAGUUUCGGCGGUUGGGGAUGGACUCGCGGCUUAUCAGCUUGUUGGUGGGGUAGUGGCUUACCAAGGCUUUGACGGGUAGCCGGCCUGAGAGGGUGACCGGCCACAUUGGGACUGGGAUACGGCCCAGACGCAUACGGGAGGCAGCAGUGGGGAAUAUUGCACAAUGGGCGGAAGCCUGAUGCAGCAACGCCGCGUGCGGGAUGACGGCCUUCGGGUUGUAAACCGCUUUCGCCUGUGACGAAGCGUGAGUGACGGUAAUGGGGAAAGAAGCACCGGCGAACUACGU